UAAGAGAGGCUUUAGGGAGCCCAGCCCCAGCUAGGGAGCCUCAGGACACUGAGCUGUGGGAGGAACCUUGACCAUGGCCUGGAUCUCUUUGCUCUUCUCACUCCUGACUGUCUACACAGGUUCUGGGGCCUCCUAUGUGCUGACUCAGCCACCUUCAGUGUCUAAAAGCCUGGGAGAGACAGCCUCCAUCUCCUGUACUGGGGAUGAACUUAGUAGCUACUAUGUAUACUGGUACCAGCAGAAACCUGACCAGGCCCCUAAGCUGGUGAUUUAUGAAGAUAGCAAGAGGCCCUCGGGGAUCCCUGCCCGAUUCUCUGGCUCCAAGUCAGGGA